AGGAUAAUAGUUAAUAAUAACGUUUAAUUUGCACUUAAAAGUAAUUGGUCUCCAAUUUAUCUUU
rnacentral:tRNA from 1 species